UGAGUAACGGCGAGCGAAAGGAAGAGUCUAGCACCGAAUCCCGCGCUGUAACGGCGUCUGAGAGAUGUGGUGUUUGGGAGUGAGCGUGCUGGAGGUCGACCAGGCAGCAAGUCCCCCUGACAGAGGCUGUUACCCAGAGCGGGUGCGAGGCCCAUAGCUGCCAGGUCUCCUCCGAAUGCGAUCUCCUUGGAGUCGGGCUGCUUGGAAGUGCAACUCUAAGCGGGUGGUAAACUCCACCUAAGACUAAAUACGGCCGUGAGACCGAUAGCAAACAAGUACCGUGAGGGAAAGUUGCAAAGAACUUUGAAGAGAGAGUUCAAGAGUACGUGAAACUGCUCAGAGGUAAACGUGUGGGCCCUCGAAAUCCUGUGGCGGAAGGAUUCAGUCGAUAUGUGCGGAGGUGCGUGCGGACGUUAUCCAGAAGGCUCCCCGAUCGGGGUCUGAUCCGCUGCACUCUGUCGUACCGUUCGACGCAUUUCUUUUCCGCCCGAAGGACGCCGCAACCGGUUGGAAGGUGGCCUGAUGGGAGAGCCGUGGCAGUUGGCCGGCGUCUGGCUAAGCUAGUCUGCCGGUUGUUAGCCUGCUCUGAUCCUAAGCUCGCUAUCCGACCGUGGUGUGGCCCAGCCACUGGGCCCUAUCGCCUCCUCCUUUACCCGAAGUGGCGGGUGGAGAAGCGCGGCAGACGUCACUACGACGGCUGGUCGCACACUCUGAUGGUGUGGACUUGAUCGUCGGCGUCAUCGAUGGCCGUGCGAGAGCCCGUGCGAGGUGGCGGACCAAGGAGUCUAACAUGUGUGCGAGUCAAUGGGUCUCGAAUAAGCCCAGAGGCGCAAUGAAAGCAAAGGCCGCGCAGAAUGCCGGCUGUGUUGGGAUCCCUGCGCUCGUCGCGGGGCGCACCAACGACCCGUCCCGUCCGAUUCAUCGGUGGGACGGAGUCUGAGCAUACACGUUGGGACCCGAAAGAUGGUGAACUAUGCCCGAGCAGGACGAGGCCAGGGGAAACUCUGGUGGAGGUCCGCAGCGGUUCUGACGUGCAAAUCGAUCGUCAGAUUCAGGUAUAGGGGCGAAAGACCAAUCGAACCAUCUAGUAGCUGGUUCCCUCCGAAGUUUCCCUCAGGAUAGCUGGCGCUCGAGACUCAGUCUCAUCCGGUAAAGCGAAUGAUUAGAGGCCUUGGGGCCGAAACGACCUCA
rnacentral:rRNA from 1 species